GAUGAACGCUGGCGGCGUGCCUAAUACAUGCGAGUCGAGCGAACAGACGAGGAGCCUGCUCCUCUGACGUUAGCGGCGGACGGGUGAGUAACACGUGGAUAACCUACCUAUAAGACUGGGAUAACUUCGGGAAACCGGAGCUAAUACCGGAUAACAUGUUGAACCGCAUGGUUCAACAGUGAAAGACGGUCUUGCUGUCACUUAUAGAUGGAUCCGCGCCGCAUUAGCUAGUUGGUAAGGUAACGGCUUACCAAGGCAACGAUGCGUAGCCGACCUGAGAGGGUGAUCGGCCACACUGGAACUGAGACACGGUCCAGACUCCUACGGGAGGCAGCAGUAGGGAAUCUUCCGCAAUGGGCGAAAGCCUGACGGAGCAACGCCGCGUGAGUGAAGAAGGUCUUCGGAUCGUAAAACUCUGUUAUUAGGGAAGAACAAAUGUGUAAGUAACUAUGCACGUCUUGACGGUACCUAAUCAGAAAGCCACGGCUAACUACGUG
rnacentral:rRNA from 1 species